rnacentral:rRNA from 1 species
GACGAACGCUGGCGGCGUGCCUAACACAUGCAAGUCGAGCGGGGUUGAAGCGAGGGGUAACUCGAGUUUCUACCUAGCGGCGGACGGGUGAGUAACGCGUGGGCAACCUGCCUCAAGGACUGGGAUAACAGCUCGAAAGGGCUGCUAAUACCGGAUAAGCCUAUGGCCUCGCAUGGGGCCAUGAGCAAAGGGGAAACCCGCCUUGAGAUGGGCCCGCGUCCCAUCAGCUAGUUGGUGAGGUGAAGGCUCACCAAGGCGACGACGGGUAGCCGGCCUGAGAGGGUGACCGGCCACACUGGGACUGAGACACGGUCCAGACUCCUACGGGAGGCAGCAGUGGGGAAUAUUGCGCAAUGGGGGGAACCCUGACGCAGCAACGCCGCGUGGAGGAAGAAGGUCUUCGGAUUGUAAACUCCUGUCUUCUGGGACGAAUAAUGACGGUACCAGAGGAGGAAGCCACGGCUAACUACGUG